AACGAACGCUGGCGGCAUGCCUAACACAUGCAAGUCGAACGAGACCUUCGGGUCUAGUGGCGCACGGGUGCGUAACGCGUGGGAACCUGCCCUUAGGUUCGGAAUAACUCCCCGAAAGGGGUGCUAAUACCGGAUAAUGUCUUCGGACCAAAGAUUUAUCGCCUUUGGAUGAGCCCGCGUUGGAUUAGCUAGUUGGUAAGGUAAAAGCCUACCAAGGCGACGAUCCAUAGCUGGUCUGAGAGGAUGAUCAGCCACACUGGGACCGAGACACGGCCCAGACUCCUACGGGAGGCAGCAGUGGGGAAUAUUGGACAAUGGGCGAAAGACUGAUCCAGCAAUGCCGCGUGAGUGAUGAAGGCCUUAGGGUUGUAAAGCUCUUUUACCCGGGAUGAUAAUGACAGUACCGGGAGAAUAAGCUCCGGCUAACUCCGUG
rnacentral:rRNA from 1 species